rnacentral:rRNA from 1 species
GACGAACGCUGGCGGCGUGCUUAACACAUGCAAGUCGAACGGAAAGGCCCCUUUGGGGGUACUCGAGUGGCGAACGGGUGAGUAACACGUGAGUAACCUGCCCUUGACUUCGGGAUAACUUCAGGAAACUGGGGCUAAUACCGGAUAGGAAUCCUUGCUGCAUGGUGGGGGUUGGAAAGCUUCGGCGGUUUUGGAUGGACUCGCGGCAUAUCAGCUUGUUGGUGGGGUAGUGGCUUACCAAGGCUUUGACGGGUAGCCGGCCUGAGAGGGCGACCGGCCACAUUGGGACUGAGAGACGGCCCAGACUCCUACGGGAGGCAGCAGGGGGGAAGAUUGCACAAUGGGCGGAAGCCUGAUGCAGCAACGCCGCGUGCGGGAUGACGGCCUUCGGGUUGUAAACCGCUUUCAGCAGGGGCGAAGCUUGUGGUGACGGUACCUGCAGAAGAAGCACCGGCUAACUACGUG